UCUGCACCCUAGGGUUGUUCAGUAUGGCAUUCAACUUCUGUUGAUGAGUCCCUCACAAAGCCUAUUCAGUAUGAUGUAUUAACUAAGGAGAACUAAGGAGACAGCUCAUUUGCUACUCUCCUCAUCUCAUCUCAAGGUCUUUCUCCAGUAUGAACUCUGGUGAUAGAUGAGGUUAUUAGACCUUUGGCCGAAAGCUUUCUUACAUGUGCUGCACUCAUGGUCUUUUUCUGUGGUGUGACCUGUUUGGUGUUCAGUAAGCUGGGUGUUUUGGCUGAAGAAUUCUCCAUAUUUAGUGCAUGCAUGUGUUUUUUUCCUCCAGUGUGACUGUAUUCUUAAGGCCUCUCUCCUGUGUGGACUCUCUCAUGCUCUGCAAGCCUAUACAUCCACAGGUAGGCUUUCCCACACUCAUGGCACUUAUAGAGACUUUGACCAUUGUGAAACACUGCUGUGCAGUCAGCAUCCUUUUGUGGAGUGACCUGGUGCUGGAGAAGGCCAGAGGUACCAGGGAAAUCCUUCCCAGCCUCCUGGCACGUGAAGGAGUUCUUGGAUGUGUGGACUAUGUGGCUCCUCAUAAAGGCCUUGCCCUAUCUCUUCUAAAGAGAUUCCCUCCACUAUGCUGGUGAAAUUUCACACCUGACACACACAGUUUCUGGCCAGGAGUUGUUCCCAGGUCUUCAUCUAGAGGCAAACUUACUGUUUAAGGCCAGGCUACACAUCUUGCAGGGACAGGACUUUGGAUGGACAGGUCUCUGAAGUAUAUUCAUGGCACUUCUACAGAAACAUUCUGCUCAGAAGUUAUCUCCUUGUGCUCUGCUCCAUACCAACAAACUGAAAGCAGAAAAAUGACACAGUGUUGGGGGAGUGCACACAGAAAUGAGGUACAUAGUCACUGGCUUUGGCACCAAAACACUGUGGGGCACAGGACAUGAUCCUGAUAUAAUUUGAACCCCUGAUGCCAAAUCAAUGGAGCCAAGCCCACUUUGAACCCCUCAUGCUGGGGCUUGGAGUCAUGUCCACUCUGUCAUGUCCCAGGGUUCACCUCCCAGCUCCAGUUGGACAACAACAUGGAAUCUAGAAAAGCAAGUCCUAAGGGAAAGACAGGACAGGUGAACAGUCAGUACUAGCCCAGGAGAACAACCAAUCCCCCAAAAAACCUGAGGAAAGAAAAACAGUGUCACAAAAUGAACCAGUGACCCUGCUGGAUCCCCAACAAUUCCUGGUACAGUCAGGGCCCAGGAAAUAGCUGGAAGGGGGCAGAACCUAGAGCACAGAGGUGUGUGGGUCUACAGACUCAACUUAGCAGGGAGUGGCUGAGACUAAUGGAACCCACUGAACUAAUUCCAAGUCUUAUGACCCAGAAAAACUUCACUGAAAAAACUUCAGAGCUGCUGGUACUGGGGAUACUUCUGAAAGGAGGUCGUACUCAUUCAGCCUUGGCACCAACAACACAGAUGAGAGGGAAGCAGUAAUAGAGAUGUGCCCACUGUCUAGGAGUCUGUGGAAAAAACAGACUUGCCUUUGGAAAAGGGAAAGGCAGAGACCUGCCCAGGAUGCUGGGAUAGGUGGGAAGGCCUUACCCAAUGAUGCAACAAGUGCAAAGGGCUCCAGGAUCACAUCACGGUACAGGAAUCUCUGGGCCUCAUCAAGAAGCUUUCUUCCUCCUGGGAAAAGUACACAGCCACGUCCUCAAAGGUCACAGGGCCCUAUGAUGAUGGGACAGAUUUGUACAUAAGCAGCCUCUCUCCCCAGGACCCCAUAAGUACUUUUAACCCCAGCCUGUACUCACUCUGGGUUCACCACCCACCCCAGCUCUGUGACUUAGAGGGCAGUGGGGCCCAAUAACUCUUCAUGCUUCCUUGAUCAGUAUGUACAACCCUGAGCAACAACAGGCAGGUGGACAGAUAGAUACCAUGUAAUCUGUGAGCCUGGUAUGCAGGGCCCUUUCCCUUUCCUCCAAGACAACAGCCUGAGUGUACCCACAUGUCUCCCAAACACAAGCAAACUUAGCCCCAUCUCUCUCUUAUACUUCUAGUACUAGGGCCUGGGGCAAUUACUUCACACACUUUCCUCACAUGCAUAUUACUGAACCUCCUCAUACAUUACAUGUCUACCAUCAUUCUCAACAGAAACCUAGUGCUACCAUUCUAACUCUGCCUCCCUUGCUCUCUGUCCUUAUCAGUUGUUAACAGACCUACAAGUCCUAGAACACUCCCAUCACAAUCACAUCCUCAAGCAUUUGUAUAUACUAGCCCCAUUACUAAGACAAUCUUUCAUGUCUCAGUCCGCGCUGGCUGCCAAAAAUUGGAAUCUGUCCAUAAAACCUAGGGUCUACAGACACCAAGUCCAUAAAGACACCUGACACCAGUGCAGGGGCCAUAAAUGGUUCUGCUGAGUGAACCAUUUAAUAUUUCAGGCAAAGACAAAUACUCAAGAGAAAAAUAAAGCAUGUAAAAGAGGGCAGAAAAUGUUAUAGAGUUGUGCCAUAAGGUCACGUGGAUACCUUGAGAAAAGGCUGUCCAGAAGUGGGACAAAAAAGUGCAAAGCCUCUCUAUCAAGAGUCAUGUCUGGUGUGUAUGAGCAGCAUCCACGAGGCUAGUGUGACUGGAGCCCAGUGAGCCAGAAGAAUAAAGGAUUGUGUUGGGGAGGAAAUGGUUCUUUUCAAAUUUUACUUUGGUUAUAUUAAAAAUUAUUACUUUAUAAAAAUCUCCACCUUACAUAAUCCAUAGAUUAAAUUCUGAUUUGGAAUUAUGCUAACAUUACAUAAUAGGAUUCAAGAAUGCAUACUUUUUAUACUUAUCCACCAUAUUCUUUGAUAUAUCCACUUUUUCCCCCCAUAGCUGUUCAGAGAGACUAUCUGUAAUUUUCUACUAGAUUUCUUCUCCAGGGGUAGAGAUCAUGAAGCACAAUUUACUGAAUUCACACUGAAAAUGACUCUCUGGAAAAGGGGUUCUUGCCAGAAUCAAAGUGCUGGGCCUCCAGCAGUUGGGGAUAACUGGGCAUCAUUGCUGACUCUUUAAACUUAAGAGAACUGCAACAAGCUAUAGGACUUGACCUCUAGUCCAUCUGCAUUGUAGAAACACAGAAAUACCUUAUUGAGUUCUUAACAUCUUGCUAGGGAUUCACAAAGCAUUAUAACAUUUUACACUUACAAAAUGAUUCAUUUUAUCACCCUUAAAACAAGUAUUUUAACAAGAUAGCUUAAUCAUUUAUGAUUUUCCACUAAAAUAAGUAUUAUUCAGGACUUCCCUGGUGGUCCAGUGGUUAAAAAUCUGCCUUCCAAUGCAGGGGAUGCAGGUUUGAUCCCACAUACUGUGGUGGGGCAACUGAGCCCGUGUGCUUCAAUGAAAGAUCCUGUGUGCUGCAACUAAGACCUGACACAGCCAAAAAUAAAUAAAACAAUACAUAAGCAUUAUUUGAAGAGUACAAUCACAUUGUACCUGAAGAAGAAUUCAGAGUAUGAUAAGAUGAUUCAAAAUCUCAGAAAAAAAAUGGAAACAGAUGGAGAAGAUACAAGAAAUGUUUAAAAGAAAGGUAGAUUUGAUGAACAAUACAAUAACUGAAAUUAAAAAUACACACUGGAGGGAUUCAAUAGCAGAUAACUAAGGUAGAAGAAAGACUAAGUGAGCUGGAUGACAGAGUGGUGGAAAUAACAUUUAAUAAACCAACAUUUGCAUUAUAAGGGUCGAAGAAGAGAAAGGGAAAGGGCCUGAGAAAAUAUUUGAGGAGAUUACAGCUGAAAACAUCCCUAACAUGGGAAAGGAAACACCUGAGUCCAAGAAGUGCAGAGUCCCAUACAGGAUAAACACAAGGAGAAACACACCAAAACACAUAUUAAUCAAACUGAUAC
rnacentral:lncRNA from 1 species